rnacentral:misc_RNA from 1 species
GAUGAAGAACGUAGCGAAAUGCGAUAAGUAAUGUGAAUUGCAGAAUUCAGUGAAUCAUCGAAUCUUUGAACGCACAUUGCGCCCGCCAGCAUUCUGGCGGGCAUGCCUGUUCGAGCGUCAUUUCAACCCUCAAGCUCUGCUUGGUGUUGGGGCCCUACGGUUGACGUAGGCCCUUAAAGGUAGUGGCGGACCCUCUCGGAGCCUCCUUUGCGUAGUAACUAACGUCUCGCAUUGGGAUUCGGAGGGACUCUUGCCGUAAAACCCCCAAAUUUUCUAAUGGUUGACCUCGGAUCAGGUAGGAAUACCCGCUGAACUUAAGCAUAUCAAUAGCGGAGGA